AGGUGUGGAUUUUGUAUGUUUAGCACGUGGUAUUGGUUUGUUAUGUACUUAAUGCUAAAAGUGUAUAUGAUGGGGUAUAAUACGCAAUCGUUGCUCUACUUUAUAGACGGUAGUACUAUCGCUCUCACUCUAUCUACCACCAUUAACACCUCUCUCUCUAUAUCUAUCUCUUUUGUGGACCAAUCUUUAUUCUCUCGAGCUUGGAAUUACAAGAUCUUUAUAUAGCAUGGAGUACUCAAUCAAGGAUGACGUGACUCAAUUGAUAGGUAACACUCCAAUGGUGUACCUAAACAACAUUGUAGAUGGCUGCGUUGCACGUAUCGCCGCUAAGCUUGAGAUGAUGCAGCCUUGCUCUAGUGUCAAGGACAGAAUUGCUUAUGGAAUGAUUAAAGAUGCUGAAGACAAGGGACUCAUUUCUCCCGGCAAGAACAUAUUGAUUGAGCCAACAUCUGGUAACACCGGGAUUGGUAUAGCAAUGGUCGGAGCAGCUAGAGGUUACAAAGUUGUGAUUACAAUGCCUGCAUCAGUGAGCAUUGAGAGAAGAAUCAUUCUUCUAGCAUUAGGUGCAGAGCUUCACCUCACGGAUCCAAGCAAAGGCGUUAUAGGAGUCAUUGUCAAAGCUGAAGAGAUAUUAAGCAAAACUCCAGAUGGUUUCAUGCUAGAGCAAUUCAGAAACCCUUCAAACCCACAAUCUCAUUACGAAACCACUGGUCCAGAGAUAUGGAGAGACUGUGCAGAGAAAGUAGAUAUGUUGGUUGUUGGUGUUGGGACUGGUGGAACGAUCUCUGGAGCAGGGAAGUUCCUCAAGGAGAAGAAUAAAGACUUUAAGGUUUAUGGGGUGGAACCUGCAGAGAGUGCUGUACUCAGUGGAGGGCAACCUGGUCCACAUGGGAUUCAAGGUAUUGGGGCUGGACUCAUCCCAGACAAUUUGGAUUUUAGCGUUCUUGAUGAAGUCAUUCAAGUGACAAGUGUGGAAGCAAUUGAAACAGCCAAACUUCUUGCCCUGAAAGAAGGAUUACUGGUUGGAAUAUCAUCCGGAGCUGCUGCGGCCGCUGCUAUAAAAGUGGCAAAACGGCCAGAAAACGCUGGGAAGCUCAUAGUUGUGGUUUUCCCGAGUGGCGGGGAACGUUACUUAUCGACUCCAAUGUUCGACUCGAUCAGAUGCGAAGCAGAGAAUUUGGCAAUUGAAUGAGAGAGACUUAUCAUCCACUACUACUACUACUUAAUUCGGUUCGGUUAUGUAAUAAAGUAUCAAGAUACCGGUUUUCUCAUUUUUGACAACACAUAAGAAGUGUUGUUUGACUUGAGAUGACGUAAUAUUGCUUCCACAAUAAAUUAAGAAAAUUCUACACA